CAGCAGCCGCGGGAAUACGGAGGGUGCAAGCGUUAAUCGGAAUUACUGGGCGUAAAGGGUGCGUAGGCGGUUGUUUAAGUCUGUUGUGAAAGCCCCGGGCUCAACCUGGGAACUGCAUUUGAGACUGUGUGGCUAGAGUGUGUCAGAGGGGGGUAGAAUUCCACGUGUAGCAGUGAAAUGCGUAGAUAUGUGGAGGAAUACCGAUGGCGAAGGCAGCCCCCUGGGAUAACACUGACGCUCAUGCACGAAAGCGUGGGGAGCAAACAGGAUUAGAUACCCCUGUAGUCCCUGUCUCUUAUAC
rnacentral:rRNA from 1 species